UCGCGGGAUGUGAGUGUAUUUAGGCAGGAAGCGGCGGGUCGACGUCCCUUUUUCAGCACUGCGGACGGAGAGGCGGUCGUGUCAGCAACAUGAGCAAGGUUUCCAGAGACACCCUCUAUGAGGCUACCCGGGAGGUGCUGCAGGGGUCCCAGCAGAAGCAGCGCAAGUUCCUGGAAACGGUGGAGCUGCAGAUCAGCCUGAAGAAUUACGACCC